rnacentral:lncRNA from 1 species
UCCUCUUCUUUUCCUAGUCACUAACUGGAUAUGUCUGACCGGGGGAAAGGACUGGCUGAAGAGGAGGUGAAGAGAUAUAUCUAUCGCAACCUAGCCAUGUUCCAUCGCGUCCAAGUGAACCAAAUGAUCCACUUGCAAUGUCUCACCGAAACAGACCGGGGAAGGCUGGGUGAUGUACUUCAUAAAAGCUCUCCGCGAACAGCAGAUGGGCGACUUGGCUGACAAGCUGGAACGCAUCUAUCGCAGCAGACUCCUUCCCCCCAGGACCCCUCCAGCGGCUUCAGCACCCCCAGCUGCCAGUCGGCCUUCGGCUCCGCCUCUCCAGCCUGACGUGAGUGAGCUGAGUCGCCCUGAAAACUUUGUUGAGGAAGCCCUUCCGUGGUCUCCCUCGCGAUCGGCCGCUUCAUCUGCCAAUCUGCCCCCCCAGGAUAUGGGGGAUUACCGGACUCCCGUUCAAGAAAACAGCCAUCCGGUAGGUAUCCAUGUCUGUGUGUAUGAAGGCAUGCGUGUAUGCA